rnacentral:rRNA from 1 species
GUGCAGCAGGCGAGAAUAGUCUACAAUGGACGAAAGUCUGAUAGUGCGACGCCGUGUGUGCGAUUAAUUCCUUCGGGAUGUAAAGCACUUUUCUAUGAGAUAGAAGCUCUUUAGGUUAAUAGCUUAUUGAGACGGAUAUUAUUAUAGGAAUAAGCUCCGGCUAACUCCGUGCCAGCAGCCGCGGUAAUACGGAAGGAGCGAGCGUUGUCCGGAUUUACUAGGCGUAAAGGGCUAGUAGGCGACUAAUUAAGUUAUAUGUUAAAUCCCACGGCUCAACUGUGGUCCUGCAUGUAAUACUGGUUAGAUAGAGUACUGUAGAGGAAGGCAGAAUUCCUGGAGUAGCGGUGGAAUGCGCAGAUAUCAGGAAGAAUACCAAAAGCGAAGGCAGCCUUCUGGGCAGUUACUGACGCUGAAUAGCGAAGGUGUGGGUAGCGAACAGGAUUAGAUA